AAUUUUGGACAAUGGGGGAAACCCUGAUCCAGCCAUCCCGCGUGUAUUAUGAAGGCCUUCGGGUUGUAAAGUACUUUUGGCAGAGAAGAAAAGGUACCUCCUAAUACGAGGUACUGCUGACGGUAUCUGCAGAAUAAGCACCGACCAACUAAGUGCCAGCAGCGGCGGUAACACGUAGGUUGCAAGCGUUAAUCGGAAUUAAUGGGCGUAAAGCGUGUGUAGGCGGUUAGGAAAGAAAGAUGUGAAAUCCCAGGGCUCAACCUUGGAACUGCAUUUUUAACUGCCGAGCUAGAGUAUGUCAGAGGGGGGUAGAAUUCCACGUGUAGCAGUGAAAUGCGUAGAUAUGUGGAGGAAUACCGAUGGCGAAGGCAGCCCCCUGGGAUAAUACUGACGCUCAGACACGAAAGCGUGGGGAGCAAACA
rnacentral:rRNA from 1 species